AAACAAGUAUUUAAAUGCACAUGAUGGAUGCUUUGGCAAUUAUAGGCGAUGAAGGACGUGGAAACUUACGAUAAGCUGCGAGUAACUGUUUCAAGUUUUUAUACGCAGAUUUCCGAAUGGGUAAACCUGAUAAAUUUUAUCAUUAUUUAUUUAAUAUAUAUAUAAAUAAAGCUAACGUAGUGAACUGAAACAUCUAAGUAACUAUAGGAAUAGAAAUCAAAUAAGAGAUUCUCUUAGUAGUGGCGAGCGAAAAGGGAAAAGUCAGAAAAAUUAUAGUAUAUUAAAUAAUAGAAUAAUUUGGAAAAUUUAACUAUAAAAGGUGAUAGUCCUGUAUAUAAAAUUUUUUAUACUUUAUUAAUUUUUCAUAAAAUUAAAACGAAACACGUGAAAUUUUGUUUGAAUAAAGGGGGACCAUCCUCUAAGACUAAAUACUAAUAAUUGACCGAUAGUGAACUAGUACCGUGAGGGAAAAGUGAAAAGAACCCCGGGAGGGGAGUGAAAUAGAUCCUGAAAUCAUUUGCAUACAAACAGUAGGAGCUUAAAAUAAUAAGUGACUGCGUACCUUUUGUAUAAUGGGUCAGCGAGUUAUUUUUAAUGGCGAGCUUAACUUUUUAUAGGUAGGCGUAGAGAAAUCGAGUCUUAAAUGGGCUAAAAAGUCUUUAGAUAUAAACCCGAAACCAAGUGAUCUAUUUAUGAACAGGUUGAAAAUAUGAUAAUACAUAUUGGAGGACCGAACCCACUAAUGUUGAAAAAUUAGGGGAAGAUUUGUGAAUAGGGGUGAAAGGCCAAACAAACUUGGAGAUAGCUGGUUCUCUCCGAAAACUAUUUAGGUAGUGCCUUAAAUUUUAUAUUUUAUAGGGGUAGAGCUCUGUUAUGGAUAGGGGAUUGAAAAAUUUACCAAACCAUUGCAAACUACGAAUACUAUUAAAAUAAAUUUAAGAGACAGACUUUGGGUGCUAACGUCCAAUGUCAAAAGGGAAACAACCCAGAUUGCCAGCUAAGGUCCCUAAAAUUAACUAAGUGGAAAACGAUGUUAAAAAACAAAGACAGUCAGGAGGUAGGCUUAGAAGCAGUCAUCCUUUAAAGAAAGCGUAAUAGCUCACUGAUCAAGUUUUUUUGCGCGGAAAAUGUAACGGGGCUAAGUUAAUUACCGAAGCUGCAAAUAUUUUAUAUAAAUAAAAUAUGGUAGGAGAGCGUUCUGUAAGUCUGUGAAGAUUUUUUGUAAAAAAUAUUGGAGAUAUCAGAAGUGCGAAUGCUGACAUAAGUAACGAUAAUGAAAGUGAAAUUCUUUCACGCCGUAAACCUAAGGUUUCCUGUUCAACGGUCAUCGAAGCAGGGUUAGUCGAUACCUAAAAUGAGGCAGAAAUGCAUAAUUGAUGGAAAAUAGGUUAAUAUUCCUAUACCAUUAUUAUAAAAGUAGGAAUGAAGAACAAAUUAUGUAAAAUUGUCCAAGUGUUGGAAUACUUGGUUUUUAUAUUAUAGAUAAUUAUUAGAUAAAAUCGAUAAUUUAUUUCGAGAAUAUAAGACGAAUAAAGCAAUUUAAAAUAAUUUCUAGAAAAUCUUCUAAAUAAAAUAAAUUAUAAUAAUGUUCGUACUAUAAACCGACACAGGUGGGUGAGAUGAAUAUUCUAAGGCGCUUGAGAUAACUCAGGAGAAGGAACUCGGCAAAUUAAUACUGUAACUUAGGGAUAAAGUAUACCUUAUUAGUUUGAAUAAUUUACAUUAUAAGAAUGAAAAGGUUUAAAAAAAAAGAUAGCUGCGACUGUUUAAUAAAAACAUAGCACUCUGCUAACAUGUAAAUGGAUGUAUAGGGUGUGACGCCUGCCCGGUGCUGGAAGAUUAAAUAAUAAAGUUUUAAAAGCUUUUGACUUAAGUCCCAGUGAACGGCGGCCGUAACUAUAACGGUCCUAAGGUAGCGAAAUUCCUUGUCGGGUAAGUUCCGACCUGCACGAAUGGCGUAACGAUGGCUAUACUGUCUCCUCUUGAGGCUCAGUGAAAUUGAAGUGUUUGUGAUGAUGCAAACUACUCGCGGCUAGACGGAAAGACCCCAUGAACCUUUACUGUAAUUUUGUAUUGAAUUUUGAAAUAAUUUGUGUAGAAUAGGUGGGAGAUAAUGAAAUAAAAAUGCUAGUUUUUAUAGAAUCGACUUUGAAAUACCACCCUAAUUUUUUUAAAAUUCUUAUCUUGAUUCGUUAACCGAAUUGGAGAAGAUGCAUGAUGGACAGUUUGACUGGGGCGGUCUCCUCCUAAAAAGUAACGGAGGAGUUCAAAGGUAUGCUAAAUACGGUUGGAAAUCGUAUAUAUAGUGCAAUGGCUUAAGCAUGCUUAACUGCGAGACAUACAAGUCGAGCAGAUACGAAAGUAGGACAUAGUGAUCCGGUGGUACUAUAUGGAAGGGCCAUCGCACAACGAAUAAAAGGUACUCUGGGGAUAACAGGCUAAUUCCCCCCAAGAGUUCAUAUCGACGGGGGAGUUUGGCACCUCGAUGUCGGCUCAUCACAUCCUGGGGCUGAAGUAGGUCCCAAGGGUAUGGCUGUUCGCCAUUUAAAGUGGUACGUGAGCUGGGUUUAAAACGUCGUGAGACAGUUUGGUCCCUAUCUACCGUGAGCGUAGGAAGUUUGAAAAGGGGCUGCUUCUAGUACGAGAGGACCGAAGUGGAUGAACCUCUAGUGUAUCGGUUGUUACGCCAGUAGCAUAGCCGAGUAGCCAAGUUCAGAAGAGAUAACCGCUGAAAGCAUCUAAGUGGGAAACUUUCCUUAAGAUAAGACUUCCCGAAAAUAAAUUUUUCCUAAAGGGUCGUUUUAGACUAAAACGUUGAUAGGUCAGGUGUGUAAGUAUAGUAAUAUAUUUAGCUAACUGAUACUAAUUUACCCGUGAGGCUUGUUUUU
rnacentral:rRNA from 18 species